GUGUCCAGGUCACGUGGCCUGCCAGACAGAGAAGGCGGCUGGCAAUCAUUAACUAAUGCUUUCUCCCAGGGAGAAAAAUGCUGGCUUUAAGGAGGACGGGACGUCAGAAUUGCAAUAGAAGAGGCUAAGGAGGCUGAAGCUCUGACACCUGGUGAAGUUCAUCCUGCCGAAUCAUCCCAUGGUGGAAGACAGAAAGGGCAAGAACGUAUGAGAGAGGAAGCAAGACAACUCUUGUGCUCAGUAACCCAUGGCAACAUACGGCAGACCUAACCACUGUCUUAGUUAGGGUUUCCAUGACGGUGAAGGGACAUCAUGACCAAGGCAACUCUUAUAAAGGACAACAUUUAACUGGUGCUGGCUUACAGGUUCAGUCCAUGAUCGUCAUAGCAGGAAACCUGGCGGCAUCCAGGUAGCACAGUGCUGGAGAAGGAGCCAAGAGUUCUACAUCUUCAUCUGAAGACAGUCAGAGGACUGGCUCUUCUUCCCUGGGUAGAGCUUAAUCAUAGGACCUCAAAGCCCCAACCCCACAGUGAUGCACCCCCUCCAACAAGGCCACACUUCCUCCAACAAGGGCACACCCUCUAAUAGUGCCACUUCCUCAUGGGCCAAGCAUAUUCAAACCACCACACCACCUGUUGUCAGACCCUGCCCCCCACUUCCACCAUUGCUGGCUGCACCAGGGAUCAAGUUAUGAACACAUGAGCUUUGAGAGGUGCAUGUCAAUCAUAGCAUCAGCUAAGUAAAAGAGGAAGGACUUGAUGCCUGAUUGGUCACAUUGAGGGGUAUAAGAGAAAGACCAGAGGAUGCAUAGAUGUCCACAGGUUUCUGGCUUGCAUGGAUAGAUGGAUAGAGAUGUCAUUCACUGGUUCAAAAUUAUGGAAUGGAAGGCAAAAGAUGUGUAGGAGGAAUGAAUUGUAAUAUCCCAUAUAGCACAGCAGGAUAAUAGGGUUUACAUUUCAAAAUGGCUAAUAGAACAUUAAAUCUUUGCAACACAAAGAAAUGAUGACUGGCAGAGGUGAUGGUUAUGCUAAUUACCCAAAUCCUGUCAUUUCGUAAUCUAGAUAUUUAUUGAAAUAUCAAACUAUAUUCUGUGAAUAUGUGCAAUACUUUAUUAUCAG